rnacentral:lncRNA from 1 species
GAGCAGGUGCUUAGGAACAAGACAAUCCCGCUUGUCAAGGUGCUGUGGAGAAGUCAUCAAGUAGAAGAAGCUACUUGGGAAUCAGAGGAGCAAAUGAUGCAGCAGUAUCCGUAUCUCUUCGGAUGACAUGUAUAUUAAUUUCGAGGACGAAAUUUUUAUAAGGAGGGGAGAAUUGUCACAUCCCCGACCCUUAUAUUUUUACCUUAUUUACUAGCGUGAUUAUAAUAAGAAUUUUACCAUCCCAAUCAUUGAGUAAAUAGUUUAAUUGGUCCCUUGAGGGGUUUCGGAAACGAUUAUGUGCGGAGGAUAAUUCGUAUGGGGAAAAUACGACGACGGUAAAAAUAGUAAAUUUUAGCUAGUAAAAGGUAAUUUUUAUUCGGGUAUUAUUUUUCGGGGUGUUGAAUUUAGGAAUUUUGGGUUAAAAGGAGUGUUGGGUCGGCUGGGCCGAGCCCAACCCAUUUCUUCUUUCUCUUCUCCCUCUCUCCCGAUUCUCUCUCCUCCCACCCGAUUUUCUCCUCUCUCCACCCGGGAAUUUCACCCGCCGCCGUCCGGCCACCACCGACCGCCAGACUGGUCCCGUUCGGACCCUUGCUUCUUCCUCUCUCAUCCUGGACCGGUGCACGCGCCCGGAACGCCGCCGUGAAGGAGCGGUCAACCCCGAAAGGUUCGACUGCCGGAAAGGGUCCUUCGCCGGAGCUCCGUCUUCCGGCCACCAUAGGUCGUGAUUUUUGGCUCAACUUGUAGCCCUCAUCUAGGUGAGUAAUCCCUCAAAAGGUUUCGGCUAAAUUCGAUUUCGUUAGGGAGGUUUGUUUAAUUGAAAGUUUUAAGGAUUUAUGGUUGUUUGUGUUCGAUCGACAUGGUUAGGCUUAGAAUUGGAGUUUGUGUUAGUCAUGAAAGUUGUAGAGAAGAUUGAGAGGAAGAUUCUGUUAAAAUUUGGUAGCAUUUGCAGGUCGCCGGAAAACGGCUGCCGGCCGCCGCCGCCGGUUAGGAGAUUUUUUAGGGUUUUAAAA